rnacentral:rRNA from 1 species
UGUGAGGUUAAGCGACUAAGCGUACACGGUGGAUGCCCUGGCAGUCAGAGGCGAUGAAGGACGUGCUAAUCUGCGAUAAGCGCCGGUAAGGUGAUAUGAACCGUUAUAACCGGCGAUUUCCGAAUGGGGAAACCCAGUGUGACUCGUCACACUAUCAUUAACUGAAUCCAUAGGUUAAUGAGGCGAACCGGGGGAACUGAAACAUCUAAGUACCCCGAGGAAAAGAAAUCAACCGAGAUUCCCCCAGUAGCGGCGAGCGAACGGGGAGGAGCCCAGAGCCUGAAUCAGCAUGUGUGUUAGUGGAAGCGUCUGGAAAGGCGCGCGAUACAGGGUGACAGCCCCGUACACAAAAGCGCAUGUGUUGUGAGCUCGAUGAGUAGGGCGGGACACGUGGUAUCCUGUCUGAAUAUGGGGGGACCAUCCUCCAAGGCUAAAUACUCCUGACUGACCGAUAGUGAACCAGUACCGUGAGGGAAAGGCGAAAAGAACCCCGGCGAGGGGAGUGAAAAAGAACCUGAAACCGUGUACGUACAAGCAGUGGGAGCCCCACCACUAAGCCAGUGGUGAACUCCACAUACGCAUCCUUUGCUGAAGGUGCGGUUAACGGAGCGCAAGCGACGUUCAACCUCAAAAGAAGCAGAGGGGGCUUAGUGGUGGGGUGACUGCGUACCUUUUGUAUAAUGGGUCAGCGACUUAUAUUCUGUAGCAAGGUUAAC